GGUCUUGAUGCUUGUGGAUAUUCAAUGCCUGAGCAUUGAAGAGUUAGGUAUUUAUUGUAGUCUUCUCAGUCUGGCAGUGCAUUACCCUUCCGGCUUUGAUAUGUGCCAAUACACAUGGAGUAUUCCCAGCCAGAGAGACUCCCUCAAGCCUCAGUGUUCAGGGUUUUUACUGGAACUUCAUCACAGAGGCAUGCUUGAUUGUCCAUGUGGAUCCUCUCAGUUUUCAGUUUCCAGUCCUUCCAGGGGUGACCUAAAGCCCAGACUCUAAAUCUCUUAGUCGGAUUUCCUGGCCUGGCUAGACCCCACCCUAAAUCUCAUUAUUAGACUAUCCAUUAUGAUCCAAGAUCCCCAGGCAAAGAUACUCCUAUUAGGCAUUAUGUGUCGAAGAUUACCUCCCAGGAGUCUAGGACAAAGGUCAGACCUCUUUUUGGUCAACGUUAAUUUUUAUUUGAAACUAUACAACAUUGCCAUCACUCUGUUAUCCUUUCUGUUUUGUCUUCAAAAUAACCCUAAUUGGUGGGUAAGGAUAUUAUUAUAAACAAGAUCUCAAGAGGGAAGACGCUGGGGCAAGGUUGCACAGUCGAUCCUGGACUCAUGGUACAAGACUCUUUCCACUCUCUGAGAGCCCUGAGUCCUGAGAAGAUGGAAACAAGCUUCCAGAUGGUGAGGGAAAGUGUGAUGAGAUUUUAUGAUAAAUCGUGCCUGUCUCUGAGCCCAUCUCCUCCUGUUGAAGAGAAGGAAAAUGAGAAUAGAAUGAAUAUGAUAUUAAUCAUACUUCGAAUUGUGGCCAUGAUGGAGUACCUGAAUUGAUGAUGGUCUCCCAGCAUAAACAACUACAAAGCUGGACAAAGUACAUGAAGAAAUUGUCUUCAGGCAUUGGGCAAUAGGCAGUUCCAGGUACAAACUGAGAGAAGGGAAUCACAUGAAGUGACUGCUACAUUUUUCUGGUGGGGAAAGUUUCCAAACCCUCAAUGACAGCAUGAGGAAGCAGAGUCCAAGCCAAGAGGAUCAGUCUUGUUUGGUGGAGGAAACAGGGACUGCCACUCAGGGCUGCUAAAAUGUGUGUGGCAGAGUAUCAGAAAGGACGGAGUUGCAGAGAAGGAGCCCCAGAAAUCUUAUAGAGGUUGUUGCAGGUCCUUGGCCAAAUCCCAAACUACGAAUGUGUGGAUUGAGACUCUGCAAGGCCCAGCACAGAACAGCCGAUGGGGAGCUGAAAGCUAAACAUCGAUUUCAGUGGUCACAGAGUGCUGGGGAUACACCCGAAUUCUGGCUCAACCAGAGUCUCCACUCUUGGAAUCUCAGGUCUUGAUGAAUAUCCCAGACAUUCACAGAGGGCCUAGAAGGCCAUGCCUUGGGAUUAAGGAAGAUUCCCUAGGAAUAAGGGCAAAACUGAAAAACAGCUCACCCUAACAAAGCCUAAAAUGUAGCCUUGACACACAUGAUCAAGUUAACCCAUCAGUAAUUUAAUUCCCUGCAAAACAAAACUCAACACUAGAGUAGGAUAACAUAAUCCAUAUCUCUACAAUGAAGGUUCACAAUGUCCAACAGAUCAAGAAAUACUUACUAGAUAAGUGAAAAAGUGAGAAAAUACAUCCUAAAAUUAAGAGAAAACCAGUCAAUACGAACAGACCCACCAUGCAUGGUGGCUCAUGCCUGUAAUCCCAGCACUUUGGGAGGCCAA
rnacentral:lncRNA from 1 species